rnacentral:rRNA from 1 species
UCAUCUUCGGGGGUAGAGCACUGUUUCGGCUAGGGGGUCAUCCCGACUUACCAACCCGAUGCAAACUACGAAUACCGAAGAAUGUUAUCACGGGAGACACACGGCGGGUGCUAACGUCCGUCGUGAAGAGGGAAACAACCCAGACCGCCAGCUAAGGUCCCAAAGUCAUGGUUAAGUGGGAAACGAUGUGGGAAGGCACAGACAGCCAGGAUGUUGGCUUAGAAGCAGCCAUCAUUUAAAGAAAGCGUAAUAGCUCACUGGUCGAGUCGGCCUGCGCGGAAGAUGUAACGGGGCUAAACCAUGCACCGAAGCUGCGGCAGCGACACUAUGUGUUGUUGGGUAGGGGAGCGUUCUGUAAGCCUGCGAAGGUGACCUGUGAGGGUUGCUGGAGGUAUCAGAAGUGCGAAUGCUGACAUAAGUAACGAUAAAGCGGGUGAAAAGCCCGCUCGCCGGAAGACCAAGGGUUCCUGUCCAACGUUAAUCGGGGCAGGGUGAGUCGACCCCUAAGGCGAGGCCGAAAGGCGUAGUCGAUGGGAAACAGGUUAAUAUUCCUGUACUUGGUGUUACUGCGAAGGGGGGACGGAGAAGGCUAUGUUAGCCGGGCGACGGUUGUCCCGGUUUAAGCAUGUAGGCUGGUUAUCCAGGCAAAUCCGGAUAAUCAAGGCUGAGGUGUGAUGACGAAGCACUACGGUGCUGAAGUAACAAAUGCCCUGCUUCCAGGAAAAGCCUCUAAGCAUCAGGUAACAUCAAAUCGUACCCCAAACCGACACAGGUGGUCAGGUAGAGAAUACCAAGGCGCUUGAGAGAACUCGGGUGAAGGAACUAGGCAAAAUGGUGCCGUAACUUCGGGAGAAGGCACGCUGGUGUGUAGGUGAAG